AACCCCGUUCUUCUUCUUCACUAUUAACCGCCAAUUUUUAUGGUUUACACGGCGGAGCAAGAUUAAGUUCGCCAAGUUUAUGCCGGAGAAAUGCCAGAUGAAAGAGAGAUGGAUGCCGAUCUAAAGAUGUCGAAAACGAAGCCAAAUACGAUAAAAAUAACAACUCUAAAGUCGAAGUCAUGUAUCUCUGAAUGCGAAUUUCUCUUGGUUAAUGAUUUAAGGCAUACAUGUGAUUGAGUCCAUUGUUGACUUUAGGGUUUUCUUGCUUUCGAUGUUUGGUUGAUUUAGAUUUGGAUGAUGUGAAUAGAUUGAAGAAGAAGCAAGGGCGUUUCGUUAAAUACAAGCGAAAUUAAAGAAGCAGAUGGGGCUUCACUUACUCAAGGAUUUGGGGAUAUGAAUCAUACAUUGAAGAAGAAGCAGGGGCAGUUCGUGAAAUGCAGGUGAAAUUCGAGAAGAAGAUGGGCUCAACUCAAGGUGUAGUGUUUUCAGCUCAACUUCUUGUACAUGACCGAUAAAGUUAUUGCAAUGACACCUGUCCAUUUGCUUAGAAGAGAGUGUUGGCACUAUGUGCUCUGGACUCCAGCAGCUAGCUUGAUCGAUUACUUCUGAUGCAUAAAAAGUGAUCCGAGUUCUCAUCCAAAUGCAUAGCAAUGGUUCAAUGCCAGAAGCAGGGUCUAGUGUUAAAGUGCUCUUAAAUUCAUUUUCUUUUUUCCAUUCAAGCCCAUUUGUAUCAUGCAUCGUUUGGUUUUCAAAGCUCAUGUUGUAGCAUUAUUUUCAAAGAUGUCG